rnacentral:rRNA from 1 species
CCUACGGGAGGCAGCAGUGGGGAAUAUUGCACAAUGGGCGAAAGCCUGAUGCAGCAACGCCGCGUGAGCGAUGAAGGCCUUCGGGUCGUAAAGCUCUGUCCUCAAGGAAGAUAAUGACGGUACUUGAGGAGGAAGCCCCGGCUAACUACGUGCCAGCAGCCGCGGUAAUACGUAGGGGGCUAGCGUUAUCCGGAAUUACUGGGCGUAAAGGGUGCGUAGGUGGUUUCUUAAGUCAGGGGUGAAAGGCUACGGCUCAACCGUAGUAAGCCUGUGAUACUGGGGAACUUGAGUGCAGGUGAGGAGAGUGGAAUGCCUAGUGUAGCGGUGAAAUGCGUAGAUAUUAGGCGGAACACCAGUUGCGAAGGCGGCUCACUGGACUGCAACUGACACUGAUGCUCGAAAGUGUGGGUAUCAAACAGGAUUAGAUACCCCUGUAGUC